GCCCCCGUGGUCUAAUGGAUAACAUGUCUGUCUUCGGAACAGAAGAUUGAGGGUUCGAGUCCUUCCGGGGGCA
rnacentral:tRNA from 1 species